rnacentral:rRNA from 1 species
GAUGAACGCUAGCGGCAGGCUUAAUACAUGCAAGUCGAGGGGCAGCACAGGUAGCAAUACUGGGUGGCGACCGGCAAACGGGUGCGGAACACGUACACAACUUACCUUCUGGUGGGGGAUAGCCUUUGGAAACGGAGAUUAAUACCCCAUAUUAUAUAUGAGCUGCAUGGUUUGUAUAUUACAGAUUUAUUGCCGGAAGAUGGGUGUGCGUAUGAUUAGGUAGUUGGCGGGGUAACGGCACACCAAGCCGACGAUCAUUAACUGGUGUGAGGGCACGACCAGUCACACGGGCACUGAGACACGGGCCCGACUCCUACGGGAGGCAGCAGUAAGGAAUAUUGGUCAAUGGACGGAAGGCUGAACCAGCCAUGCCGCGUGGAGGAUGAAGGUCCUCUGGAUUGUAAACUUCUUUUAUAGGGGGCGAAAAAAGGGAAUUCUUUCUCGUCUGACGGUACCCUAUGAAUAAACACCGGCUAACUCCGUGCCAGCCGCCGCAGUAAGAC